rnacentral:rRNA from 1 species
UUUUGGUGACUCAUAAUAACUUUACGGAUCACAUUUUGUGUGACAUAUCAUUCAAGUUUCUGACCUAUCAGCUUUAGACGGUAGGGUAUUGGCCUACCGUGGCUAUGACGGGUAACGGGGAAUUAGGGUUCGAUUCCGGAGAGGGAGCCUGAGAAACGGCUACCACAUCUAAGGAAGGCAGCAGGCGCGCAAAUUACCCAAUCCUAAUACAGGGAGGUAGUGACAAGAAAUAACAAUACAGGGCCUAAUGGUUUUGUAAUUGGAAUGAGUUAAGUAUAAACCCCUUUACAAGUAUCAAUUGGAGGGCAAGUCUGGUGCCAGCAGCCGCGGUAAUUCCAGCUCCAAUAGCGUAUAUUAAAGUUGUUGCAGUUAAAAAGCUCGUAGUUGGAUUUCUGUUAAUAGUUGAUAUAUAAUACUACGGUAUUUAUAUGACAUUGACAUAAUUCAUAUUACUUAUUUUGAGUAUAUGAAAUUUUACUUUGAGAAAAUUAGAGUGCUUAAAGCAGGCGUUUGCCUUGAAUACUCCAGCAUGGAAUAAUAUUAAAGAUUUUUAUCUUUCUUAUUGGUUCUAAGAUAAAAAUAAUGAUUAAUAGGGACAGUUGGGGGCAUUUGUAUUUAACAGUCAGAGGUGAAAUUCUUAGAUUUGUUAAAGACAAACUAGUGCGAAAGCAUUUGCCAAGGAUGUUUUCAUUAAUCAAGAACGAAAGUUAGGGGAUCGAAGACGAUCAGAUA